UUUUUCUUAAAAAAAGUUUAUCUUUUUUCUAGGGUAUAGGGGUUUAGGGUUUAGGGUUUAGGGGUUUAGGGUUUAGGGUUUAGGGUUUAGGGUUUUAGGUUUUAGGGUUUAGGGUUUAGGGUUUAGGGUUUUAGUGUUUAGGGUUUAGGGUUUUAGGGUUUAGGGUUUAGGGUUUAGGGUUUUUAGGGUUUAGGGUUUAGGGCUUAGGGCUUAGGGCUUAGGG
rnacentral:lncRNA from 1 species